CACGUAGGGGGCAAGCGUUGUCCGGAUUUAUUGGGCGUAAAGGGCGCGUAGGCGGCCGUGCAAGUGGAAGGUGAAAUCCCUCGGCUCAACCGAGGAACUGCCUUUCAAACUGCAUGGCUUGAGUCCGGGAGAGGUGAGUGGAAUUCCCAGUGUAGCGGUGAAAUGCGUAGAUAUUGGGAGGAACACCAGUGGCGAAGGCGGCUCACUGGACCGGAACUGACGCUGAGGCGCGAAAGCGUGGGGAGCAAACGGG
rnacentral:rRNA from 1 species